rnacentral:rRNA from 1 species
UUAUACUCCAUAGAUCAUAGAUUCGGAACGACUUAUGGUCGAAAGUUCCGGCGCUCUAGGAUUGGUCUGCGGCCUAUCAGGUAGUAUUGGGUGUAACGGACCCACUAGCCAGUGACGGGUAUGGGCCUUGAGAGAGGGAGCCCAGAGAUGGAUUCUGAGACACGAAUCCAGGCCCUACGGGGCGCAGCAGUCGCGAAAACUUCACAAUGGGGGCAACCCCGAUGAGGGAAUUCCUAGUGCUGACACUUUUUUGUGUCAGCUUUUCUUUAGCGUAGAUAACUAGAGGAAUAAGGGCUGGGUAAGACGGGUGCCAGCCGCCGCGGUAAUACCCGCAGCCCGAGUGGUGGUCGACUUUAUUGAGUCUAAAACGUUCGUAGCCGGUUCGCUAAAUCCUUGGGUAAAUCGGAAAGCUUAACUUUCCGAAUUCCGAGGAGACUGGCGAACUUGGGACCGGGAGAGGCAAGAGGUACUUGGGGGGUAGGGGUAAAAUCCUGUAAUCCUCCAAGGACCACCGGUGGCGAAGGCGUCUUGCUAGAACGGAUCCGACGGUGAGGGACGAAGCCCUGGGUCGCAAACGGGAUUAGAUACCCCGGUAGUCCAGGGUGUAAACGCUGCAGACUUGGUGU